ensembl:lncRNA
GCCCCCCGAUCGGCGGCUCUUGCCACCCCUCACCCCACUCGGGGGGCCCCCUAGAGCCCCAUCUCUUCCCUCUCGGAGUGUCCCCAUGCGGUCCAUGAUGGAGCCCGGGGAGGUUGAGUGCCUUGCCCAAGGUCACAGAGUUCUAAAUGAAGAGCCAGGCCUGGAAUCCAAAACCAGUGACUGCAGAAGCUACAAGAGGCUGCCUCUCAGCAGAAGGGGACCAAGGCUCGGGCCAGUGGGAAGUGUCACAGGAUGAUGGGUUUCAGCAGGAAUUAUUUUCCUGGUCAGAACCUGCUCCCUGCCUGUCAAGCAGCAGGUCAGAGUGAGCUCCCCAGUGCUGGAGUAUUCAAGCAAAGACCCAGCAGGAGCCAGGGCGGCUGUCUGAGGUCCCUUCCAGACCGGACACCAGGUCCCCUGGGAAUGUACCCGUGGCACUGCCCUCCAGGGGAGGCUUUCAUCCUGGACUGUCCUGGGUGGUGGGGUAGAAUGGAGUAGUGUGUGUGCCUGCGGGGGUGCAGGUCUGUGUGGGUGGGUAGGGACUAAGGAAAGAUGGGAGCCUCCUCCUGGGGAGCCCCUGUGUUUGGAAGGUCCCCCUGGCCGCUCAGGUCACAGAAUCACUGAACUGUAGGCCCACUCUCUGGGCCUUUACACCAGGGCCUCCUGUGAUGAGAACUUGCUCCUACCAUGUAGAAGUCCCUUCCAACCACUUUUUCACCUGACUUCUACUCAUCCUUCAGUUGUCAGCUCUAAGCAGGUGGCACCCUCUCAGCACCCUGGGAAGAUACACUGAUUGAGCAGUAUUUCAAUUCAAGGCAUUUCCGGUGCCUUGGGAUCAGAGUUCACCCUCAGUCAGAACAGACUCAGUGAAGACUGGGCAGGGGACUUGGGGUGAGGGUGGGCAUCAUUAGAGGGAUACAGAGCCUACUGGGAGCCUGGGUUCAUCACGUGCAUGCAGUGGGGGGGUUGGGGGAUGACAGACCAGGCAACUGACAGUUUCCAUCCAGUGGCAUGAGCACUGACAGAAGGGUCCUGUGUCUGGGACCUUCCCCUCUGAGAC